GAUUAACGCUGGCGGCGUGCAUAACACAUUCAAGUCGAACGGAGUAAGGGGCUUCGGUCCUUUGCUUAGUGGCGGACGGGUGAGUAACGCGUGAGCAAUCUACCUCUGGGUACGGAAUAACAACCGGAAACAGUUGCUAAUACCGUAUGAAAUAGCAGUGUCGCAUGACACAACUAUCAAAGAUUUAUCGCCAAGAGAUGAGCUUGCGUCCGAUUAGAUAGUUGGUGGGGUAACGGCCCACCAAGGCGACGAUCAGUAGCCGGCCUGAGAGGGUGGACGGCCACAUUGGGACUGAGACACGGCCCAAACUCCUACGGGAGGCAGCAGUGGGGAAUAUUGGGCAAUGGGGGAAACCCUGACCCAGCAACGCCGCGUGGAGGAAGAAGGUUUUCGGAUCGUAAACUCCUGUCCUCAGGGAAGAGCAGAAGACGGUACCUGAGGAGGAAGCCCCGGCUAACUACGUG
rnacentral:rRNA from 1 species